CCUACGGGUGGCAGCAGUGGGGAAUAUUGGACAAUGGGGGGAACCCUGAUCCAGCCAUGCCGCGUGUGUGAAGAAGGCCCUCGGGUUGUAAAGCACUUUCAGUGAGGAAGAACGCCUGGUGGUUAAUACCCAUCAGGAAAGACAUCACUCACAGAAGAAGCACCGGCUAACUCCGUGCCAGCAGCCGCGGUAAUACGGAGGGUGCGAGCGUUAAUCGGAAUUACUGGGCGUAAAGCGCGCGUAGGUGGCUUGAUAAGCCGGUUGUGAAAGCCCCGGGCUCAACCUGGGAACGGCAUCCGGAACUGUCAAGCUAGAGUGCAGGAGAGGAAGGUAGAAUUCCCGGUGUAGCGGUGAAAUGCGUAGAGAUCGGGAGGAAUACCAGUGGCGAAGGCGGCCUUCUGGUCUGACACUGACACUGAGGUGCGAAAGCGUGGGUAGCAAACAGGAUUAGAUACCCGAGUAGUC
rnacentral:rRNA from 1 species